GCCGGAAUGCGGACCGCCUCUGCCUCCCAAGGGCACCCUGAAGUUGCUGUUGGGACUGUGCUCUGCCAGGAAGCCUUCCAGAUGGAUUCCACCAUGCUGUGUGCUCUGAAUGUCCCUGUUCUCAGUAGGAAGUCCCAUUUGUGGAGUGGUUGCCAAGUGCUUUCUCCGAAUGACCACAAGCCACCCUUGCAGUAACCCUCUGAGCUGGCCCUGUGAUGCUCUCAUCACAGAUGAAGAAGCAGAGGCUGACGGAGGAGUUUCCAGGCUGGGUUCCAACCCAGGAUGGAAGAGGCUGUUACCGAGUCUGGGCAAAUCAGCACAACCAUAUUAACAGAGGGGAUGCCUGGAACCACGUCCCCAUCCUUGGCCCCUCCCACGGACUUCAUCCCCCAGUUCACCAUUGGACAUCUGCAACGGGAUGUUCCAAACAGUCACGGUCACAAGCAUCAUGGCCCCAGCCUACUGUCUCCCCUCCACGCCCGGGCACUUCCCACUUUCCUCGUCUCUGACAGCAGCACGGUCAACGGAUCUAGCACAGGGCCCAGUCCAUGUAUGCUCUCCAUGUAUGCUUCCUGGUUGAAUGAAUAAAUGAACAAAUGGGCCAAAAAAAAUGGAUCUUUUAUAAUUUGUCUCCUAGAUUUUAGUUUUUUCCUUGCAGCCCUUCCCAUAUUUCUCUGUCAGUUGAAUCUCCCCAAAUGGUGACUUGGCCCUGGGAAUUCUUCACAUGGUGCCUUUAAUGGUUCCCACUC